rnacentral:rRNA from 1 species
GAUGAACGCUGGCGGCGUGCCUAAUACAUGCAAGUCGAGCGAACGACUUCGGUGGUGAGCGGCGAACGGGUGAGUAACGCGUAGGUAAUCUGCCCAUCAGACGGGGACAACGAUUGGAAAAGAUCGCUAAUACCGGAAAGGACGAAAGUUUAAAGGUUCUUCUGGAACCGCUGAUGGAUGAUCCUGCGGCGCAGUAGCUAGUUGGUAGGGUAAAGGCCUACCAAGGCGACGAUGCGUAGCCGACCUGAGAGGGUGAACGGCCACACUGGGACUGAGACACGGCCCAGACUCCUACGGGAGGCAGCAGUAGGGAAUCUUCGGCAAUGGGCGAAAGCCUGACCGAGCAACGCCGCGUGAAUGAUGAAGGCCUUCGGGUUGUAAAAUUCUGUUAUAAGGGAAGAACGACUUUAGUAGGAAAUGGCUAGAGUGUGACGGUACCUUAUGAGAAAGCCACGGCUAACUACGUGCCAGCCGCCGCAGUAAGAC